rnacentral:rRNA from 1 species
CAGUAGCCGCGGUAAUACGUAGGGUGCAAGCGUUAAUCGGAAUUACUGGGCGUAAAGCGUGCGCAGGCGGUUAUAUAAGACAGAUGUGAAAUCCCCGGGCUCAACCUGAGAACUGCAUUUGUGACUGUAUAGCUAGAGUACGGCAGAGGGGGAUGGAAUUCCGCGUGUAGCAGUGAAAUGCGUAGAUAUGCGGAGGAACACCGAUGGCGAAGGCAAUCCCCUGGGCCUGUACUGACGCUCAUGCACGAAAGCGUGGGGAGCAAACAGGAUUAGAUACCCCAGUAGUCCCUGUCUCUUAUAC